UUUCAGAAUUCUGAAGGCCAGCCGAGUUCUCACCACCCAGCAGCAUUUAUUCAGAACGCAGCUCAGUCCUGGCCAGACUGGGCGCUGCCUUCCUCCCUGCCCAAGGGGACCCUGGGUGUUUUGGAGGGCUGAGGCAGGCAGAGCUGAGCCUUUCUUUCCAAUCCCAGGUGGAAGCACUCGUCCCAGGACACAACCAUCCAGCACCUUUGAAAAGAUGAGUUCGCGAGCCCGAAUGGUCAGGUUACCGGUGCAAGUAGGGGACAAGCGAAGGAUCCCCCUGGGGCGGUAACAGGGAUUGAACUCAUGACUGAGUACUUAACUCAGGCGCUUAUGCCGCUGAGCUAAAUCCCCAGCCAGGAGAAAGACAAAGAGGGCUUCUACUGAAGAGCUGAAGCAGAGUUAUUAACUUAAAGGGGAAGUUUCUCACUGAGACAUGAGAGAGGACUGUGACUUCCAAUACCUCCUUUUUUGAAUCAUGCUGGAAGUUCUAAUCAGGGCCCUUAGCCAAGAAAGAAAAAGAGAAAGACCACUUCUGGCAGAUCACUUUAGCAAGCAAGAAGGGAUACUGCCACUACUGGAUUCAGCAUGAAUUUAUGUAUAAAAUGUCCUGCAAGUCCUACAAGUUUAUGGAUGACAAAUUAUCUAAAACCUCAUUGUUGCAUUUAUAUGCAUUAGCUGUGAAAAACAUGAAAAUGAAACAAACUCAACUCUAUUAGUAACAAAUUAAAGAAUAGAAUAAAGAGUAACAGACUAAAGAGUAGACUGAACACUUAAGAAUAAACAUAAUUGAAAAAGAGCAAGAAAUCAGAAAUUGGAGUUCAGGAUCCAGAAAAAAGCCAAGAUCACUAGUAAGACUUGGAAGCCAGGAUCAUCAAUGAGGAAGAAUAAUCUUCAUAACACGUGGUUUAGAGACAGCUAGACACUUACAAGCUCAAGAGGGUGUUUGGAACCCUACCUCACACCAUGUAUAAGUUUUUAAUUCAAUGAAUCAAAGAUUUAAAUGUGGAUGCUAAAACUGUAAAACAUUUAACAAGGCAGUGUGACCUUUUAGACAAUAGUUUCUUAGACUCCAAAAGCAAAAGCAACCAUAUUAAAAAAUAAAUUCAAUGUUAUCAAAAUCCAAAAUUUAUGUUCCAAAUAAGAAAAAAUACAAAAUAAAAAGUUACAAAUUGCAUUUCUGAUAAGGUUGUAGUAUCCAGCAUUUAAGGACAGAAGUCUUACAAUUUGUUGAAAAAAAGGAAUACAACCCAAUUAAAAAUAGACAAAGGAUUCCAAAGAUAUUUGUUGAUAUACAAAUCACUGAUACAUCCAUGAAAAGACAUUCAACAUCAGUACUAAUCAAGGUAGCACGAAUUAAAAGCACAAUGAAAUAUGCUGGCUGGAAAAGUUGCUUAAAAAUCAAGAAGAGACUCGAGUAGGAUGUGGAGAAAGCUAACCUUGGCCAUCAUGGGGGAUGGGAUAGGAUGACGGCUUGUGCAGCUGCAGGUGCCGGGUGCCCUGUGGUGGCCUGUGGUAGCCUGUGGUGGCCUGCGGUGUACACCCAGGAGGGUGAAAAUGUUAUCUCCACCAAGGCACCAUCCCAGCAUGACUCAUACAUGCCAAAAGUGGAAGGAACUCAGGUGGCCACAAAAUGAGACAGCAAGUAUGGCACCAUCUCCACGUAGUGGGUAGGAUUCAGCCCCGAAGAACAGUGAGGCCUCGAGUAACACCGGGGCAUGACAGACUCCAACCUUGAAAACAUUUGCUACGUGAAGAAGCCAGAGACGGAGGCCACAGCAUGCAAUGUCUGGAGCAGUAGCAGCGAGCCUACUGUAUUGAAAUUCAAAGGAAAAAAAUGCAAAGACUUUCAAAAUGAGAGGAGCAGUGUGGAAGUUUCACUACCUGAACUGAAGAUGUAUCAGUGAAGACCAUGAGUUUAUAUGUAUAUAUGAUACACAUACUAACAUCCUAUGGAGUUUGAUGAACUAAUGCAUAUCCACAUAUCCACCUAUCUAUAUCUCACAGAAAUAUAACAGGGUCCAUAAAGAGAUUCAUAGCCCAGCACCUUCCUCUCAGUUUUGCUGUGAAAAAUGAAGCCACUCUAAAAAGUGACAUCUAUUAGGAAAUAACUGGUACCAGAAGGGGACAAGAGAAGAGGGGCUAAUAAAGUUUUCCCAGACCAGAGCUCCUGGCAAUUUAUUGAGAUCCUCAUUAAGCCCAGAUGAUGUUUUGUGGUGUUCACUGUACAAGAGUCUUGAAUAACUUUUGCUAAAUUUUUCUCAACUAAUGUGUCCUUUGGUAGCAUGUACACGAUGUCUCAUGACUCAUGAGAGUACUGCCUAGCAUGAUGCUUGGUGUCAUUCCCCACCAACGGCCACAGAAGAGACCAGAGGUAUGGUCUGCGAAACUGUGGGACUCGUACUGAGAGGACAUGACGGCUGAGGACAGCUAGCUCCACCCAGCCCUGUGGCUAAUUGUACUUGAAGAGUCGCUAGCCAUGGCCUCUUCCUGGUCUCUUCUGCUCCUGAUGGAAGGGUGCUUUGUUCUUUCCUUCAUACACCUGCCAGAUCUCAUCCUACCUCCAGCAACCUCACCCCAUCCUGUAGACCCUACAGCCAGGAAAUACCACGGAUCUGGCACUGAGCACUGACCCCCCCCCCCAGCUCCCCAUUUCACUUUUAUCUUCUCCCUGAGUUUUUCUUUGCAGUCUUGCAUCGUAGCACCAAACAGGAGCACCAGGUCUUCGCUGAGGUCCCAGAUAAGGUGGUGCUGGAUGAAAAGAAGCAUAACCAGGCCUUGGGAGUCCUGGUCAGGACCUCCUUGGGGAGCUUUGUGUGCACAGUCACAGUCUCCUUAAAAGCACAGUUCAUAAAUUAUGAUUUUCCUUGUCUCCUUCCUCCCUUCUUUAUGUCCUCUAUCCUACCCCAAUCUCACAAGCCACAUGGAAAUUUUAAUCUGCUCUUUGGUACACAUGGGACAUUUCAGGCAUAAAUUCAUAACUGAAGCAGAUCAGAUCUGCACAAGGGGCCUGUGGUGGGGAGGGGGUCUCCCGGGUCCUCUGGAUUCCUGGACAGAGAUACAAAAGCAAAGAUGUAGUCAUAGACGAAUGUUACUUCCUGGGUCUCUUACAGGGUAUUUUGCUCAUGAAAAUAAAACAAAUGUAAAUUAUGAACCUGUGUCUGGCCACAGAAUGUGAAGCCUUGGCUGCACAAAGACACUACAGAUAUUUACUUUUUAUUAGCUGACAAACAAGCUAAAGGACAAACCAAGAUUGUUUUAUUUAAUUUUGGAAGAGUGAUGUAUUCAUAAUAUUGCUUGUAGCUCAGGAUAAAAUGCUAAUGUGCCUUAAUUUAAAUAAUGUAUCCAACUGCAAACACACACAAUGAGAAGAUAUUUGUGCUUGUCAAAACAGCAAAUGAAGGGGUGAAAUCAAAUGAGAAAAGCAUUUCCGGAAGCGGGAUUGCACAGAGAUUGUGCACAGCAGCAACUUCAUGUUUAUUUUCCUUUGAUGAUUAAAGACAAACAAUGAAGUGCGAGA